rnacentral:rRNA from 1 species
CCCCUUGGAAGUCCUCGUGUUGCAUCCCU